UGGAUAGUUUGGGCUCGUGUUUAAACAGA
rnacentral:piRNA from 1 species